GACGAACGCUGGCGGCGUGCUUUACACAUGCAAGUCGAACGGAAAGGCCCUGCUUUUGUGGGGUGCUCGAGUGGCGAACGGGUGAGUAACACGUGAGUAACCUGCCCUUGACUUUGGGAUAACUUCAGGAAACUGGGGCUAAUACCGGAUAGGAGCUCCUGCUGCAUGGUGGGGGUUGGAAAGUUUCGGCGGCUGGGGAUGGACUCGCGGCUUAUCAGCUUGUUGGUGGGGUAGUGGCUUACCAAGGCUUUGACGGGUAGCCGGCCUGAGAGGGUGACCGGCCACAUUGGGACUGAGAUACGGCCCAGACUCCUACGGGAGGCAGCAGUGGGGAAUAUUGCACAAUGGGCGGAAGCCUGAUGCAGCAACGCCGCGUGCGGGAUGACGGCCUUCGGGUUGUAAACCGCUUUCGCCUGUGACGAAGCGUGAGUGACGGUAAUGGGUAAAGAAGCACCGGCUAACUACGUG
rnacentral:rRNA from 1 species